rnacentral:rRNA from 1 species
GCGACGCCGCGUGAGUGAAGAAGUAUUUCGGUAUGUAAAGCUCUAUCGGCAAGGGAAGAAAAAGCGCGCGAGCGGCCCUUAGACAGUACCUGACUAAGAAGCCCCGGCUAACUACGUGCC